CAGGAAGCUUAAGCUAGAAUGCAUAGAGGUGCAGACAAAGACGAACUACAUGAGUAAGCACAAGCAAUAUCCAGGCCAAACAGUGCGUGCGGUGUAUUACUGCAAGAAGAUAUUCAAGAAACCUGGAGCAAAAUGUCAUAUUGCAAAGGAUGAAGAACUUAGCAUGAAGUGCAAAAUGGCGUGUUGCUGCAAGGUGGGUGGUAGAGGCCAUUGCUUAAAGGUGAAUAUUCUACCAGGGAUGUCAUGCGGCCAUGGAAAGACAUGCAAGAGGGGUGUUUGUGGAUUUCACCACUUCAAUUAGUUAACCAAACUGCAAACAGGAUUUUGCUUGACCUCUCUAAUGCACGCAACGUAAAAUAGU
rnacentral:lncRNA from 1 species